GGAUAUAGCUUAGUGGUAUAGUGCUUGCCUAGCAUGCAGUGGGCUCUGGGUUCAAUCCUUAGUAACACA
rnacentral:tRNA from 1 species